rnacentral:rRNA from 1 species
GCUUGCUUGUUGGGGUUGUAGGACACUCUAUACGGAGUUACAAAGGACGACAUUAGACGAAUCAUCUGGAAAGAUGAAUCAAAGAAGGUAAUAAUCCUGUAGUCGAAAAUGUUGUCUCUCUUGAGUGGAUCCUGAGUACGACGGAGCACGUGAAAUUCCGUCGGAAUCUGGGAGGACCAUCUCCUAAGGCUAAAUACUCUCUAGUGACCGAUAGUGAACCAGUACCGUGAGGGAAAGGUGAAAAGCACCCCGGAAGGGGAGUGAAAUAGAACCUGAAACCGUGUGCUUACAAGUAGUCAGAGCCCGUUAAUGGGUGAUGGCGUGCCUUUUGUAGAAUGAACCGGCGAGUUACGAUUUGAUGCAAGGUUAAGCAGUAAAUGUGGAGCCGUAGCGAAAGCGAGUCUGAAUAGGGCGUUUAGUAUUUGGUCGUAGACCCGAAACCAGGUGAUCUACCCUUGGUCAGGUUGAAGUUCAGGUAACACUGAAUGGAGGACCGAACCGACUUACGUUGAAAAGUGAGCGGAUGAACUGAGGGUAGCGGAGAAAUUCCAAUCGAACCUGGAGAUAGCUGGUUCUCUCCGAAAUAGCUUUAGGGCUAGCCUCAAGUGAUGAUUAUUGGAGGUAGAGCACUGUUUGGACGAGGGGCCCCUCUCGGGUUACCGAAUUCAGACAAACUCCGAAUGCCAAUUAAUUUAACUUGGGAGUCAGAACAUGGGUGAUAAGGUCCGUGUUCGAAAGGGAAACAGCCCAGACCACCAGCUAAGGUCCCAAAAUAUAUGUUAAGUGGAAAAGGAUGUGGCGUUGCCCAGACAACUAGGAUGUUGGCUUAGAAGCAGCCAUCAUUUAAAGAGUGCGUAAUAGCUCACUAGUCGAGUGACACUGCGCCGAAAAUGUACCGGGGCUAAACAUAUUACCGAAGCUGUGGAUUGUCCUUUGGACAAUGGUAGGAGAGCGUUCUAAGGGCGUUGAAGCAUGAUCGUAAGGACAUGUGGAGCGCUUAGAAGUGAGAAUGCCGGUGUGAGUAGCGAAAGACGGGUGAGAAUCCCGUCCACCGAUUGACUAAGGUUUCCAGAGGAAGGCUCGUCCGCUCUGGGUUAGUCGGGUCCUAAGCUGAGGCCGACAGGCGUAGGCGAUGGAUAACAGGUUGAUAUUCCUGUACCACCUAUAAUCGUUUUAAUCGAUGGGGGGACGCAGUAGGAUAGGCGAAGCGUGCGAUUGGAUUGCACGUCUAAGCAGUAAGGCUGAGUAUUAGGCAAAUCCGGUACUCG